rnacentral:rRNA from 1 species
ACCUGAAACUGUUACGAGGAAAGCGGAUUGCGUUGGAUUGAAAAGCUUUUUUGUGUGUUCAGCCUUUACUGGUGUACUCAUACGAAAAGGUUAACCAUCGUGGCUAUUUGACGACUGAUUUUGAGUUGUUGAAUGGUGAGGGAUCCCCUUUAUUGGGUGAGGACGAUGGUGUGACAACGCGAUACGACCCGUCUUGAAACACGGACCAAGGAGUCUAGCACAAUUGCGAGUCGAAUGGUGUGAAAACCUGAGGGCGCAGUGAAAGCGAAUCAUUUAAAAACGAUCAGUUUGAGGCGGCAUAAAAUCGUUGAUUUUAGGUCUGACCUAGAGCAGUUGUGCUGGGACCCGAAAGAUGGUGAACUAUACUUGAGUAGGGCAAAGCCAGAAGAAAUUCUGGUGGAGGCUCGCAGCGGUGCUGACGUGCAAAUCGCUCGUCGAACUUGAGUAUAGGGGCGAAAGACUCAUCGAACCAUCUAGUAGCUGGUUCCCUCCGAAGUUUCUCUCAGGAUAGCGGGCCGACAUGACGUUGUUUUGUGCGGUAAAGCGAAUGAUUAGCGCAUUUGGGGACUAUUUGUCUUCGGGCGAUUCUCAAAC